rnacentral:rRNA from 1 species
AGUGAACGCUGGCGGUAGGCCUAACACAUGCAAGUCGAACGGCAGCACAGUAAGAGCUUGCUCUUACGGGUGGCGAGUGGCGGACGGGUGAGGUAUACAUCGGAAUCUACUUUUUCGUGGGGGAUAACGUAGGGAAACUUACGCUAAUACCGCAUACGACCUACGGGUGAAAGCAGGGGAUCUUCGGACCUUGCGCGAUUGAAUGAGCCGAUGUCGGAUUAGCUAGUUGGCGGGGUAAAGGCCCACCAAGGCGACGAUCCGUAGCUGGUCUGAGAGGAUGAUCAGCCACACUGGAACUGAGACACGGUCCAGACUCCUACGGGAGGCCGCAGUGGGGAAUAUUGGACAAUGGGGGCAAGCCUGAUCCAGCCAUACCGCGUGGGUGAAGAAGGCCUUCGGGUUGUAAAGCCCUUUUGUUGGGAAAGAAAAGCAGCAGGUUAAUACCCCGCUGUUCUGACGGUACCCAAAGAAUAAGCACCGGCUAACUUCGUG